GACGAACGCUGGCGGCGUGCCUAAUACAUGCAAGUCGAACGAGAGCGACCGGUGCUUGCCCUGGUCAAUCUAGUGGCGAACGGGUGAGUAACACGUGGGUAACCUGCCCAUCAGAGGGGGAUAACAUUCGGAAACGGAUGCUAAAACCGCAUAGGUCUUCGAACCGCAUGGUUUGAAGAGGAAAAGAGGCGCAAGCUUCUGCUGAUGGAUGUACCCGCGGUGCAUUAGCUAGUUGGUGAGGUAACGGCUCACCAAGGCCGUGAUCCAUAGCCGACCUGAGAGGGUGAUCGGCCACAUUGGGACUGAGACACGGCCCAGACUCCUACGGGAGGCAGCAGUAGGGAAUCUUCCGCAAUGGACGCAAGUCUGACGGAGCAACGCCGCGUGAGUGAAGAAGGUUUUCGGAUCGUAAAACUCUGUUGUUAGAGAAGAAUAAGUGCUAGAGUAACUGUUAGCGCCUUGACGGUAUCUAACCAGAAAGCCACGGCUAACUACGUG
rnacentral:rRNA from 1 species